UCGUAGUGGCAUGCUCUAGACCCGAAGCGGAGUGAUCUACCCAUGGCCAGGUUGAAGCGACGGUAAGACGUCGUGGAGGACCGAACCCACUUAGGUUGAAAACUGAGGGGAUGAGUUGUGGGUAGGGGUGAAAGGCCAAUCAAACUCCGUGAUAGCUGGUUCUCCCCGAAAUGCAUUUAGGUGCAGCGUCGCGUGUUUCUCACCGGAGGUAGAGCUACUGGAUGGUCUAGGGGGCCCACAAGCUUACCGAAAUCAGCCAAACUCCGAAUGCCGGUGAGUGAGAGCGCGGCAGUGAGACUGCGGGCGAUAAGGUUCGUAGUCGAGAGGGAAACAGCCCAGAUCGCCAGCUAAGGUCCCUAAGCGUGUACUAAGUGGAAAAGGAUGUGGGGUCGCGAAGACAACCAGGAGGUUGGCUUAGAAGCAGCCACCCUUGAAAGAGUGCGUAAUAGCUCACUGGUCAAGUGAUCCUGCGCCGACAAUGUAGCGGGGCUCAAGUACACCACCGAAGCUGCGGCAUUCACGCAAUAGCCCCCAGUUGAUCCAAGGAUUUUCUGGCAGGUGUGUGGAUGGGUAGGGGAGCGUCGUGUGGCCAUGGAAGCGGCAGGGUGACCUAGCCGUGGAGGCCACACGAGUGAGAAUGCAGGCAUGAGUAGCGAAAGACGAGUGAGAAACUCGUCCGCCGAAUGACCAAGGGUUCCUGGGCCAGGUUAAUCCGCCCAGGGUGAGUCGGGACCUAAGACGAGGCCGACAGGCGUAGCCGAUGGACAACGGGUUGAUAUUCCCGUACCCGUGUGAACGCGCCCAUGGUGAAUCAGUGAUACUAACCAUCCUGAAGCCACGAGAAGACCUUCGGGUCUCGAGUUGGUGGAUGCAUGGGACCUGAUCUGGUAGUAGCCAAGCGAUGGGGUGACGCAGGAAGGUAGCUGAGCCAGUCAGUGGUAAUACUGGUGUAAGCGUGUAGGGCGUGACCUAGGCAAAUCCGGGUCGCACAUAGCCUGAGACGUGAUGCGUAGCCGAUUGAGGCGAAUUCAGUGAUCCUAUGCUGCCGAGAAAAGCCUCUAGCGAGCUUUCACACGGCCCGUACCCCAAACCGACACAGGUGGUCAGGUAGAGAAUACUAAGGCGAUCGAGAUAACUAUGGUUAAGGAACUCGGCAAAAUGCCCCCGUAACUUCGGGAGAAGGGGGGCCCUGUCUGGUGACGACAUUUACUGUCUGAGCUGGGUGGGGCCGCAGAGACCAGUGAGAAGCGACUGUUUACUAAAAACACAGGUCCGUGCGAAGUCGUAAGACGAUGUAUACGGACUGACGCCUGCCCGGUGCUGGAAGGUUAAGAGGACCGGUUAGUUCCUUCGGGAGCGAAGCUGAGAAUUUAAGCCCCAGUAAACGGCGGUGGUAACUAUAACCAUCCUAAGGUAGCGAAAUUCCUUGUCGGGUAAGUUCCGACCUGCACGAAUGGCGUAACGACUUCUCAGCUGUCUCAACCGUAGACUCGGCGAAAUUGCAUUACGAGUAAAGAUGCUCGUUACGCGCGGCAGGACGAAAAGACCCCGGGACCUUCACUACAGCUUGGUAUUGGUGUUCGGUUCGGUUUGUGUAGGAUAGGUGGGAGACUGUGAAGCGGUGACGCCAGUUAUCGUGGAGUCGUUGUUGAAAUACCACUCUGAUCGAAUUGGACCUCUAACCUCGGACCAUGAUCUGGUUCAGGGACAGUGCCUGGUGGGUAGUUUAACUGGGGCGGUUGCCUCCCAAAAUGUAACGGAGGCGCCCAAAGGUUCCCUCAGCCUGGUUGGCAAUCAGGUGUCGAGUGCAAGUGCACAAGGGAGCUUGACUGUGAGACUGACAGGUCGAGCAGGGACGAAAGUCGGGACUAGUGAUCCGGCACCGGCAAGUGGAAGCGGUGUCGCUCAACGGAUAAAAGGUACCCCGGGGAUAACAGGCUGAUCUUCCCCAAGAGUCCAUAUCGACGGGAUGGUUUGGCACCUCGAUGUCGGCUCGUCGCAUCCUGGGGCUGGAGUAGGUCCCAAGGGUUGGGCUGUUCGCCCAUUAAAGCGGCACGCGAGCUGGGUUUAGAACGUCGUGAGACAGUUCGGUCUCUAUCCGCCGCGCGCGUUAGAAACUUGAGGAAGGCUGUCCCUAGUACGAGAGGACCGGGACGGACGAACCUCUGGUGUGCCAGUUGUUCCGCCAGGAGCACCGCUGGUUAGCUACGUUCGGAAGGGAUAACCGCUGAAAGCAUCUAAGCGGGAAGCCUGUUCCAAGAUGAGGUUUCUCACCCCCUCGAGGGGGUAAGGCCCCCGGCAGACCACCGGGUUGAUAGGCCAGAACUGGAAGUGCAGUAAUGCAUGCAGGUGACUGGUACUAAUAGGCCGAGGACUUACCACAA
rnacentral:rRNA from 1 species